GAUAACCGAAAGAGACCUUAACCUGUUAAAUAGCCAGGCCGGCUUUGGUUGGUCGCCGGUUUUUUAGAGGGACUGUCGGCGUCUAGCCGACGGAAGUUUGAGGCAAUAACAGGUCUGUGAUGCCCUUAGAUGUUUUGGGCCGCACGCGCGCUACACUGACAGAGCCAGCGAGUUUUUCACCUUGGCCGGAAGGUCUGGGUAAUCUUGUGAAACUCUGUCGUGCUGGGGAUAGAGCAUUGCAAUUAUUGCUCUUCAACGAGGAAUACCUAGUAAGCGUGAGUCAUCAGCUCGCGUUGAUUACGU
rnacentral:rRNA from 1 species